CUCUGGAAGAUCAAAUCAUGACAGUAAGCUGAUCAGGUCACAGCUGGCUCUGGAAGAUGUCAUACAUUCUCUCACCACACAAGGGCGCUGUUGUCCUUUCGCUCACGGACUGACUGGGCUUCCCUGUAUCUAUGGUCUGACGGACAAACAGCCCCAUUCUCAGAGUUCAUAACGGAGUGCUUACAUUAUUACACUUGUGCAAUUCAAGAUAUAUUUAUUUUACCCUUUCAGUAUUUUUUGUUGUUGUUGUUGUUGAAAAAGGUACAAAAUGUUUGAAUUGUUUAAAAAGUUAUUUUAAGCUAUACAGGUUUUGUGUUCUCAGAGGGAUGGGAUCAAAACACAGCAAGAUGACAAUUCAGUUGAAAAGAUAAGAGUAGUCAGCACUUCAGACUAGUGAGGACAAUGUGCAUUAUAAUGCAGCUGUUUAGUUUGACGACUGUGACACACAAACGCAGUCAUUUCACUGUGAGAACUGACGGACUGUAAUAAUAAUAAUGUGUUUUAAAGCCUACAUACACACAAACAGGUUGUACUUUCUGCUAAAUUCAAUGUAGGCUUUUUUCUUGUUGCUUUUGACAACAACAACAGUACACCAAAGUUCAGAAUAGAUGAACAAUGUUUCUGUGUGUUUGGCGUUUCUAAUGAUAAGCUAAGUGACAGCUGUAUUGGAGAGACAGAGGCGGGAUAAAACACAACACAUCACUCAAAUGUUUGGUGAGAAACUAGGUGAGAUACUGUACUGGCUAGAUGGGAGGUACUGUACUGUAUUGGCUAGAUGGGAGGUACUGUACUGUAUUGGCUAGAUGGGAGAUACUGUACUGUACUGGCUAGAUGGGAUGUACUGUACUGUAUUGGCUAGAUGAGAGG
rnacentral:lncRNA from 1 species